GACGAACGCUGGCGGCAUGCCUAAUACAUGCAAGUCGAGCGAAUGAUGAAGAAGCUUGCUUCUUCUGAUUUAGCGGCGGACGGGUGAGUAACACGUGGGCAACCUGCCCUGUAGAUUGGGAUAACUCCGGGAAACCGGGGCUAAUACCGAAUAAUCCAUUUCCUCUCAUGGGGAGAUGUUAAAAGAUGGUUUCGGCUGUCACUACAGGAUGGGCCCGCGGCGCAUUAGCUAGUAGGUGGGGUAACGGCUCACCUAGGCGACGAUCCCUAGCUGGUCUGAGAGGAUGACCAGCCACACUGGAACUGAGACACGGUCCAG
rnacentral:rRNA from 1 species